GACGAACGCUGGCGGCGUGCUUAACACAUGCAAGUCGAACGGUGAACCUCUUCUGAGGGGAUCAGUGUCGAACGGGUGCGUAACACGUGGACAACCUUCCCCCGCCUCUUGGUUAACUCCAAGACAUUGGGGCUAAUACCGGUUGUUCACCUCUUCCCGCCUGGGCGGUGGUGUAAGUGGUUUCCGGGUGGGGAUGGGCCCGCGGCCUAUCAGCUUGUUGGUGGGGUAGUGGCCUACUAAGGCGACGACGGUUAGCCGGCCUGCGGGGGUGACCGGCCACACUGGGACUGAGAAACGGCCCAGACUACUAGGGGAGGAAGCAGUGGGGAAUAUGGAGGAAUGGGCGGAAGCCGGACGCAGAGAGGCCGAGUGGGGGAUGACGGCCUUCGGGUUGGAAACCUCUUACAGCAGGGAAGAAGCGCAAGUGACGGUACCGGCAGAAGAAGCACCGGCCAACUACGUG
rnacentral:rRNA from 1 species